rnacentral:rRNA from 1 species
UACGGAGGGUGCAAGCAUUAAUCGGAUUUACUGGGCGUAAAGGGAGUGUAGGCGGUUCUAUAAGUCAGAUGUGAAAUUCCGGGGCUCAACCAGGGAGCUGCAUCUGAAACUAUAGGACUAGAGGAUGAGCGAGGAAAACGGAAUUCCACGUGUAGCGGUGAAAUGCGUAGAUAUGUGGAAGAACACCGGUGGCGAAGGCGGUUUUCUAGCUUAUUCCUGACGCUGAGGCGCGAAAGCAAGGGGAGCAAACAGGAUUAGAUACCCUGGUAGUCCUUGCCGUAAACGAUGUAUACUAGAUGUAGUUGGACUCAACGCCAGCUGUGUCGAAGCAAACGCGAUAAGUAUACCGCCUGGGGAGUACACUCGCAAGGGUGAAACUCAAAAGAAUUGACGGGGGCCCGCACAAGCAGUGGAGCAUGUGGUUUAAUUCGAUGCAACGCGAAGAACCUUACCUGGGCUCGAAAUGUAGAGGACGUGAUCAGAAAUGGUCAUUCCCGCAAGGGUCUCUAUCUAGGUGCUGCAUGGCUGUCGUCAGCUCGUUCCGUGAGGUGUUGGGUUAAGUCCCGCAACGAGCCCAACCCUUAUCGUUAGUUGCCACCAUUUAAGGUGGGGACUCUAACGAGACUGCCUGGGUUAACCAGGAGGAAGGUGAGGAUGACGUCAAGUCCUCAUGGCCUUUAUGUCCAGGGCUACACACGUGCUACAAUGGUCGGUACAAAGGGCAGCGAAGCCGCGAGGUGAAGCAAAUCUCAGAAAACCGGUCUCAGUUCGGAUUGUAGUCUGCAACUCGACUACAUGAAGUUGGAAUUGCUAGUAAUGGCGUGUCAGCAAUAUCGCCGUGAAUACGUUCCCGGGCCU